CACCCCCUCCAUGGGCUCCUGUGCAGCCCGAGUCUCCUCGACGAGGGCCACCCCCUGCUCCACGGCACCCAGUCCCAUCGACCACCCAAGGGCUGAGGAGUGCGGGCGCACGCAGGGGACUGGCAGGCAGCUCCACCUGCAGCCCCGGUGCGGGAUUCACCGGGUGAAGCCAGCUGGGCUCCUGAAUCUGGUGGGGCUUUGGAGAACCUUUACAAUCCCUGAGCUAGACAUAAAUACACCAAUCGGCACUCUGUAUCUAGCUCAAGGUUUGUAAACACACCAAUCAGCACCCUGUGUCUAGCUCAGGGUUUGUGAGUGCACCAAUGGACACUCUGUAUCUAUCUGCUCUGGUGGGGCCUUGGAGAACCUUUGUGUGGAUACUCUGUAUCUAAUCUGAUGGGGACGUGGAGAACCUUUGUAUCCAGCUCAGGGAUUGUAAACGCACCAAUCAGCGCCCUGUCAAAACAGACCACUGGGCUCUACCAAUCAGCAGGACGUGGGUGGGGCCAGAUAAGAGAAUGAAACCAGGCUGCCCCAGCCAGCAGUGGCAACCCGCUUGGGUCCCCUUCCACACUGUGGAAGCUUUGUUCUUUUGCUCUUUGCAAUAAAUCUUGCUACUGCUCACUCUUUGGGUCCAUGCUGCUUUUAUGAGCUGUAACACUCACCACGAAGGCCUGCAGCUUCACUCCUGAAGCCAGCGAGACCACGAGCCCGCCGGGAGGAACGAACAACUCCAGAUGUGCCGCCUUAAGAGCUGUAACACUCACCGCAAAGGCCUGCAGCUUCACUCCUGAAGCCAGCGAGACCACGAGCCCGCCGGGAGGAACGAACAACUCCAGAUGUGCCGCCUUAAGAGCUGUAACACUCACCGCAAAGGUCUGCAGCUUCACUCCUGAGCCAGCGAGACCACGAACCCACCAGAAGGAAGAAACUCCGAACACAUCCGAACAUCAGAAGGAACAAACUCCAGACACACCACCUUAAGAGCUGUAACACUCACCGCAAGGGUCCGCAGUUUCAUUCUUGAAGUCAGUGUGACCAAGAACCCACCAAUUCCAGACACA
rnacentral:lncRNA from 1 species